GGUCAAAAAACUCGGUGUUACUUUUUUUUUCAUCCUUUGUUGUUUUUAAUCAUUUCGGUAAUACCCACGACUGUCUUGGCCAAGCUCCAUAACGGAUGAGCAGAAGCUGGGGAUGUUGAAGAAAAAAAAGGAGUAGACCAGAGAUUUCUUUUU
rnacentral:ribozyme from 14 species